rnacentral:lncRNA from 1 species
GUUGGUUCACCAGGGCGCACUCUGAGCUGGAAUCGCUCCAUUGACUGAAACUGCCGGGAGAUGUCUCUUCAGAUUCAGUCCUAGACCCACAAAACUGCCUGGGGAAGAUGGGGAAUUGUGGUACAUUCAUCAGGAAAAGUCCAGUUCUGGGAACGGGGGGGAAACAAAUCCUGGUCUCUGGAGGUGUGCUGAGGCUCACUGCACCUUACCUCCUGCAGACGCUGGAUCUGGAGCUCUGCUCCAAAUGAAGGUCCCACUGCAGUGGAGCUGCAGGAAUGCCCCAGCAAGGCAAGGGUCCAUCUGGUCCUGCUUUUCCACAACUCCAUUCACGGAGGGAAAAAGUUAUGGAGAAUAAUCAAAGAAAAACAUAUAACAUGAUAGCUAAUAUUUCAUGGUUGUGUGACAGCUCAGAAUUCAUUGCUGUGUUGCGGAGCACUGCAGUGCAAACAGGAGCAUAGGAAAGU